rnacentral:rRNA from 1 species
AACGAACGCUGGCGGCAGGCUUAACACAUGCAAGUCGAGCGCGUAGCAAUACGAGCGGCAGACGGGUGAGUAACGCGUGGGAAUCUACCGUACCCUACGGAAUAGCUCUGGGAAACUGGAGGUAAUACCGUAUACGCCCUAACGGGGAAAGAUUUAUCGGGGUAUGAUGAGCACGCGUUGGAUUAGCUAGUUGGUGGGGUAAAGGCCUACCAAGGCGACGAUCCAUAGCUGGUCUGAGAGGAUGAUCAGCCACAUUGGGACUGAGACACGGCCCAAACUCCUACGGGAGGCAGCAGUGGGGAAUAUUGGACAAUGGGCGCAAGCCUGAUCCUGCCAUGCCGCGUGAGUGAUGAAGGUCUUAGGAUUGUAAAGCUCUUUCACCGAUGAAGAUAAUGACGGUAGUCGGAGAAGAAGCCCCGACUAACUUCGUGCCAGCCGCCGCCGUAA